rnacentral:rRNA from 1 species
CCUGACUCCAUCCCGAACUCAGAAGUGAAACGAAACAGCGUCGAUGGUAGUGUGGGGUCUCCCCAUGUGAGAGUAGAACAUCGCCAGGC